GACAGAGGGUGCAAACGUUGUUCGGAAUUACUGGGCGUAAAGCGCGUGUAGGCGGCUUGGCAAGUCGGGUGUGAAAGCCCUGGGCUCAACCCAGGAAGUGCACUCGAAACUGCUUCGCUCGAGUAUCGGAGAGGAAAGCGGAAUUCUCGGUGUAGAGGUGAAAUUCGUAGAUAUCGAGAGGAACACCGGUGGCGAAGGCGGCAUCCUGGACCGAGAUUGACGCUGAACAGCGAAAGCUAGGGGAGCAAACGGG
rnacentral:rRNA from 1 species